AGCGAACGCUGGCGGCAGGCCUAACACAUGCGAGUCGAACGAACUCUUCGGAGUUAGUGGCGGACGGGUGAGUAACACGUGGGAACGUGCCUUUAGGUUCGGAAUAACUCAGGGAAACUUGUGCUAAUACCGAAUGUGCCCUUCGGGGGAAAGAUUUAUCGCCUUUAGAGCGGCCCGCGUCUGAAUAGCUAGUUGGUGAGGUAAAGGCUCACCAAGGCGACGAUCAGUAGCUGGUCUGAGAGGAUGAUCAGCCACAUUGGGACUGAGACACGGCCCAAACUCCUACGGGAGGCAGCAGUGGGGAAUCUUGCGCAAUGGGCGAAAGCCUGACGCAGCCAUGCCGCGUGAAUGAUGAAGGUCUUAGGAUUGUAAAAUUCUUUCACCGGGGACGAUAAUGACGGUACCCGGAGAAGAAGCCCCGGCUAACUUCGUG
rnacentral:rRNA from 1 species